CAGGUCUUUGCUGGUGAUUCUCCGGUACUGGCUCAAGCAGUGGACCUGAGGAGAGAUGAAAGCAGAGGGCAGCUCUAACCCAGCCACGGUG
rnacentral:lncRNA from 1 species